rnacentral:tRNA from 1 species
AGUUCCGGGUUCGAAUCCCGGGCAACCCAC